UGAGGAAUUUUGCGCAAUGGGCGGAAGCCUGACGCAGCAACGCCGCGUGAGUGAUGAAGGCCUUCGGGUCGUAAAGCUCUGUCAGGCGGGAAGAAACUGUUCCGUGAGAAUAUUUCGGGACACUGACGGUACCGCCGAAGGAAGCACCGGCUAACUCCGUGCCAGCAGCCGCGGUAAUACGGAGGGUGCAAGCGUUAUCCGGAUUUAUUGGGUUUAAAGGGUGCGUAGGCGGCUUUUUAAGUCAGUGGUGAAAUCCCGCAGCUCAACUGUAGAACAGCCAUUGAAACUGAAGAGCUUGAGUAAUCUUGAGGUAGGCGGAAUGUGUAGUGUAGCGGUGAAAUGCUUAGAUAUUACACAGAACACCGAUUGCGAAGGCAGCUUACUAAGGAUUUACUGACGCUGAUCCACGAAAGCGUGGGGAUCAAACA
rnacentral:rRNA from 1 species